UUGGGAGGGGUGAAGACUCCUUUGGCCUCUACAAUCUUGGGUCUAUGGCUUGAAGAGAAAUCCAUUCCUGUUCAGUGUGAAUAUGCCUUAUGACUUCCCAGACAGCAAAAAUAAGAAGACCCAAGAGACAGAAGAGGCUGUGGACUCCAGCAUCCUCUCCACCUUCCCAUUCUACCUCAGCUGAACAUGGAAGCCUCAGAAGGAAAGCCUGUGCCCUUCUCCUUUCACCAGACCCCCGCUCAAACUGAUUGGAGAGGUCAGCUGAUCUCUUCCGUACCACUUCACCCCACUUACCCCCACCGAAGCCUUCCCUUCCCUCUGCCAAGACAGUAGCCUCAGUGAUAUAACAAAACCUUUAUUCUCAGAAAACAGAAAAAACAAAAUCAAAACCAAUAUUUUCUAUUUGGCCCUUGCCCCAACCCUCCCACCCACCCACAGAUCCUUCUUUUGUGGAGGACCUGUGAUGCAUGCAUAGGGGUGGGAGCUGAAGGAACCUGUGUUCCCGGGACAGAAAGAAGUCUUUUUGAGUUCAGGUACCCUCCUCCAAGCUGACACCACUCCCAGCCUUGCCCACCUCCAGACACACCAAGAGGGAGGGAUUCUGGAGCAGUGCCAGAGGAUUGCCCUGAAGUUCCUUGGGGAAGAGAGUAGCUGAGCCAGCACCACCCCCGUGGUCU